GGAAUGUAUAGAAGUAUGGAGU
rnacentral:miRNA from 1 species